rnacentral:lncRNA from 1 species
CAGCUAACCCUGCCCAGAUUCCUAAGCCGUGGCUACUGUGAGAAAACAAAUGCUUGUUGUCCUCGGCUGCUAAGGGUUGGGUGAAUUUGCUGUGCAGUAAUCCAUAGUGCUACAUGCACUUUACCAAGAAGGGCUGCUGUUGUUAAGCACACCUGGACCCUUCUGCUGUGAAAGUCUCCUUUAAUGCCAAAGUAUGAUCCACACGAGAAAAUGGGCUGCUGGCCUUAAAUCGUCUCAUUUUUGCCAAGAAUGUGUUUCCAAGCUUGUUCUUUUCUGCUUCGAUGUCUUCAACUUGGAGGGAUUGUGGGCUGUUGGAGAAAACAAAUCUACCUCCAAAGAAGAAAGAUUCAAUGCUGGAAGGAACACUAAACAAGUAUUCGAGCUGGUCACAGUGAGUGACACACCCUUAUAAUCCCAGCUAUUGGUGAGGUUGAGGCAGGAGGAUCAUUCAGAAUAAAAGAUUAAAAGUUUGUUGCUAUGAAUUCAAGUUCAAGGACAGCCUGGGCAGUUUAGCUAGAUUCCCCCCACCUUCAUCUCCGACACCACCCCCCGCCGCCCCUGCCACCACCAAUUUCAAAAUAAAAAUUGAAAAGGGCUGGGGAGUAGUUUGAGAAAUUAGCUCAAACUAAUUCCCUCAGUGGUAGAGUGCCUCUGGGUUCAAUUACCCUCCACCACACCCCCCUGCCCACCCCAGUAUUCCAUGAAAAGUUCAGUUGUGAACAUACCAAUGACUAUAGUAUUGGGACUGUUCUUCCAAGGUGAUUCUUUUGAAAGGCUUAACACUUUGAAUAUUUAAUGCACUUAAAACUCAACGAUUAAGUUGUGCUAUUUGUAUAUUUAUUAUGUAACAUGUGACACUUCCUACUGGUGAUAAUUCUGGGCAGCAGAUGCUAUUACUCCUGUUUUAUAGAUGAGAAAAGUGAGGCAGAGAGAGGCAUGGCCAAGGGCACACAGCCAGGAAGCGGCAGAGCAGGAUCUAAGUAGUCUGGCUGGUGUGAGUUGGCUCUUCGCUCCAAAGCUAUCUUCCCUGUUUGUUCACUUGUUUUCUAGUUCUAACUCACACAAGAACGUGUUCAAGGCAGUAACAGAGUUAGUUCCUUAAUUGUCGUUAAAAUAAAAUUUUCCCUCUACUCAGAUAAUAUUUCAAGUUGGUGGGGUUAGGAAAUGUGCAAAAUAUCAAACUGAUGUUCAUUCAUGCAUUUUCUUGUAAAAGAGGGAAAAAAAAAAACAAAUCAGAGCAACUAUUUUUGGUCGAAACUAGGAAGGCACAGGCUCAAAGGAACAAACUAAGAUUUCUGUCUUUUUGUAAUAUCUAAACUUUUUUCUUUGUAAUAUAUCAGAUUUUGACUAGAAUUUUCCACUCAUUCAGCUAACCAGCUGCUGAUAUGCCUGACAGCAAAGUUGGCAAUGCUCAUGCAGGAUUUGUAGUCUGGCUUCUGAAAUGAGGCAUUUUAUGACAGACACCAACUCUGCUGCCCAGUCAGAGACUUAAAAGAGCCGCCAAGGUAUUCAGAAGGGUCCCUUCCCAAUAACCACCCCUUUGAAUUUCUUUUAUAUUCUUUCUUUUUUUUUUUUACAGGGGUCGGGGAGUAGUGGUCAUGCUUAGUGUCACCAAGAGCUGGGUCCUUGAUGGAUCACAGUUGCAUUGGGCCAGCUGUUCUCCCUUUAGUCUACUCCUCCGCCUCAGGAACCACAAAGGACCCUUUUUAUAUGUUGCCAUUUAUCAUAUCCUUUGUUGUUUAUUAAUAAUUUGCAGAUGUGUCAUAUGUCCCCAAGAAGAUGAUAACCUCUUUAGAGCUGGGCACACAAUUGUGUUCAUUUUAUUAGCCUCCCAAUUUUUUGUAUAUGGACUUAUUUUUUAAAAUGUUCACAGGGCUGGGGAGGUUCUUGGGCGGUGGCGUGCUCGCCAGGCAGGCAUGUGUGCGGCCCGGGUUCAGUCAUCAGCACCACAUACAAACAAAGAUGUUGUGUCCGCCAAAAACUAAAAAAAUAAAUAAAUAAAUAUUAAAACUCUCUCUCUCUCUCUCUCUCUCUCUCUCUCUCUCUCUCUCUGUCUAGCUCUCUCUCUCUCCCUGUUAAAAAAAUAAAAUAAAAUGUUCACAGAUUAAUGGUUCCCACUUUUGAGGACCCAUGUUAUUAACUAUAAGCAAGAUCUAGUUGGCUUCAAAAUCACACAAGCACGAGAAGAUGCUCGAUCUCUGAUCUUGAAGCUGCCCAUCCUUUAAAGAUUCUGAACUGCUAGGGAUACUGACAAAACCCAGUAUCGAGAUCACAGAGCAGCAGGGAACUUGACCACUUUGAUGGCUUCUCAAACUACUCAUUGUUGGACGCCAUUACUUAAAAAUUAUAGCUUCAUUUAUAUGCAUUUGCACAAGAGCCUGAACGCAGAAGGUACUCCAGGUAUCCACGUCCUAACCCUUGGGUCCUCCUCCCUUCUUGUCCCUUACACAGAGCCAUCAGCACAAGUGUCUUAACAAGGAGACUGUCAACAGUCACUGGCUGCUGCUAUUGACAAGAACUCUGGCAAGAAAUACACAAAAGAAAGCACCUCUGUCCUCAAGUAACCCAGUAAAUAAUGAGUUUUUCCUGCCACUCUGUUUCUGUAAAGUGCCACAAGGAAGCCGGUGAGGUGGUGUAUGCCUGUAGUCGCAGCUACUCAAGAGGCUGUGGCAGGAGAAUGGCUUGAACCCAAGAGUUUGAGGCCAGCCCAGGCAACAUAGGGAGACUCUGUCUCUCAAAAAAAAAAAAAAAAUACCCAAAGCACCACAAGAUAACCAAGGUAUUAUGUAAAAUCAUGUUGAAAAUUUUGUUUUCUAUGAAGCAAAGUACAGCAGGCAGGUAGGGUAAAAUUGUGAGAUGAUAAAUGGACUUAAGGAAUUACAAAUAUUCCUUCUAUGUGGUAUAUAAUAAUACAUAUAUUAUGGUAUAUAAUAAUGCAUAUAUUAUGUGUAUGUGUGGGUGUUUGUGUGUGUGUAUGGUGCAGGGGAUCAAACCCAGAGCCUCACACAUCAUUAGGCAAUCACUCUAUUGCUGAGCUAUAUCUCCAGCCCUAUGCUGCCUAUUUUAGUCUUUCCCCAAUCUGUGAGUAGGUACCUGCAAUACAAAUUACAGGAACAUGGGAUUAGAGAAGUCAGACUACUGGCCCAAAGAAGCACAGCUGCAAAGCGACCCAAUCAGGAACACAUCUUGGUGUUCCAAUGCCAAACCCCAUGCUCCUGCCCCCCAAAUUUGAUGAAUGUAUAAAAAUAUACAUUUGCCUGAGGAAUUUCCAAGGAACUUCCAUAGUUUAGCUAAAGAGCUUUUAUUGCAUUUUUUAAAAAGUUGUAAAUACAGGGGCUGGGGUUGUGGCUCAGUGGUAGAGAUGUAUCUAGCGUGCACAGGGCACUGGGCUUGAUCCUCAGCACCACAUAAAUGUAAAAUAAAGAUAUUGUGUCCACCUAAAACUAAAAAAUAAAUAUUAAAAAAGUUGUAAAUACAAUCAUUUGUGAAAAUGACUAAAGAAAACUUGCCUAAAAUUAUAAUAGUCUAUAUUUAGUGAUGAAUGCUAAUGUGAAAGACUAUAUUUCUAAGAAAAGAACAUUCACAAUUUUUGGCUGACAAAUGUCAAUAGGAAGGAAAUCCAGGCCACUGGCCCAUGCUGGCCCUAGGCUCACAGGAUGUGCUCAAGGUGGGAGGUUAGAAGGGGGAGAAUGGAGGAGGUGAGCAGGGUAGAGGGACUCACAUGGCAGUCACCUCACCAUAGGAUAAAGACAGUUGACCUGGUAACAAUUCCUCCUUUAAUAUUUGUUUCCUUAGGAUAAUGUGUUGUUGCCAUUUGUCAAUGGACAUUCUUUACUAAAUUAAAAAUACGUUCCACAACCUAGGUGCCAGGUAUCUGGGCUAAAUGUUACAGAUAUAGGAGAAAAGCCUGAGCACCUAGGAAGUUUGGUAUGUUAGAAACAAAACACGCUGCCACCUUGCUAAGGACUAAAUGAAUGUUUGCAUCCCCUAUGCCCCAAUUCAUAUGUUCAAACCCUAAUUCCCAAUGUACUGGUUUUAGAAGGUGAGACCUUUGCAAGGCAAUGAGGUCCUGAGAAUGUGGCCCCUUAUUAAAAGAAGCGUGAUAUCUGAACUCUCUCUGCCAUCUGAGAGCACAAUAAGAACGCUGCUGUCUGCAAACCAGGAAGAGAGCCUUCACCAGAAACCAAAGGAACUAGCACAUUGAACUUGGAGUUUGCAACCUCCAGAACUGUGAGAAAUAAAUUUUGCCUCAGCCACCUGGCUAAGGGCUAUUUGUUAUAGCAGCCAGAACUAAGAUACUCCUCAUUAGACUGCAUUUUUGCUACUCCUCAGCAGCACCAGUAUGCCCAAGUUACUCUUUUAAGGCCCUAUUGUCUCAUUAUUAAAACGGGUAUUAUCUCUUAGAAUGAUUAGGAGGCUAAAAACUGUGUUUAGCAGUCCCUGAUCAGCAAUGGCCAAUUUACUUACUAUGAUGAUUUUCACUGCUUGCUCUUUAUUUCACAAGCAUGAUGUUUUCUACAAUGGAGAGAUGAAAAUUGUUUUGGUGUAAAUGAAAUAAUUUUAAAGAUUUUUAUUUGACUCCUUGUGAUGAUUUUAGGGACAAAUAAGGAACUUGUGGGGCUGACAUUGUGACUCAGCGGCAGAGCAAUCGUCUAGCACGUGCGAGGUCCUGGGCUCAAUCUUCAGCACCACAUAAAAAUAAAUAAGCAGAAUUGAGGUA